CGAGUGGCGGACGGGUGAGUAAUGUCUGGGAAACUGCCUGAUGGAGGGGGAUAACUACUGGAAACGGUAGCUAAUACCGCGUAAUGUCGCAAGACCAAAGAGGGGGACCUUCGGGCCUCUUGCCAUCGGAUGUGCCCAGAUGGGAUUAGCUUGUUGGUGGGGUAACGGCUCACCAAGGCGACGAUCCCUAGCUGGUCUGAGAGGAUGACCAGCCACACUGGAACUGAGACACGGUCCAGACUCCUACGGGAGGCAGCAUG
rnacentral:rRNA from 1 species